rnacentral:rRNA from 1 species
UGGGGAAUUUUGCACAAUGGGCGGAAGCCUGAUGCAGCGACGCCGUGUGGGGGAUGAAGGCCUUCGGGUUGUAAACUCCUUUCGUCAGGGACGAAGUUUGUUUGACGGUACCUGGAUAAGAAGCACCGGCUAACUACGUGCCUGCAGCCGCGGUAAUACGUAGGGUGCGAGCGUUGUCCGGAUUUACUGGGCGUAAAGGGCUCGUAGGUGGUGUGUUGCGUCGUCUGUGUAAUCCAGGGGCUUAACUUUUGGUUGGCAGGCGAUACGGGCAUUGCUUGAGUGCUGUAGGGGAGACUGGAAUUCCUGGUGUAGCGGUGAAAUGCGCAGAUAUCAGGAGGAACACCGAUGGCGAAGGCAGGUCUCUGGGCAGUUACUGACGCUGAGGAGCGAGAGCAUGGGUAGCGAACAGG